GACGAACGCUGGCGGCGUGCUUAACACAUGCCAGUCGAACGGAAAGGCCCUGCUUUUGUGGGGUGCUCGAGUGGCGAACGGGUGAGUAACACGUGAGUAACCUGCCCUUGACUUUGGGAUAACUUCAGGAAACUGGGGCUAAUACCGGAUAGGAGCUCCUGCUGCAUGGUGGGGGUUGGAAAGUUUCGGCGGUUGGGGAUGGACUCGCGGCUUAUCAGCUUGUUGGUGGGUAGUGGCUUACCAAGGCUUUGACGGGUAGCCGGCCUGAGAGGGUGACCGGCCACAUUGGGACUGAGAUACGGCCCAGACUCCUACGGGAGGCAGCAGUGGGGAAUAUUGCACAAUGGGCGGAAGCCUGAUGCAGCAACGCCGCGUGCGGGAUGACGGCCUGCGGGUUGUAAACCGCUUUCGCCUGUGACGAAGCGUGAGUGACGGUAAUGGGUAAAGAAGCACCGGCUAACUACGUG
rnacentral:rRNA from 1 species